rnacentral:rRNA from 1 species
AGUGAACGCUGGCGGUAGGCCUAACACAUGCAAGUCGAACGGCAGCACAGUAAGAGCUUGCUCUUACGGGUGGCGAGUGGCGGACGGGUGAGGAAUACAUCGGAAUCUACUUUUUCGUGGGGGAUAACGUAGGGAAACUUACGCUAAUACCGCAUACGACCUACGGGUGAAAGCAGGGGAUCUUCGGACCUUGCGCGAUUGAAUGAGCCGAUGUCGGAUUAGCUAGUUGGCGGGGUAAAGGCCCACCAAGGCGACGAUCCGUAGCUGGUCUGAGAGGAUGAUCAGCCACACUGGAACUGAGACACGGUCCAGACUCCUACGAGAGGCAGCAGUGUGGAAUAUUGGACAAUGGGCGCAAGCCUGAUCCAGCCAGACCGCGUGGGUGGAGAAGGCCUUCGGGUUGUAAAGCCCUUUUGUUGGGAAAGAAAAGCAGCAGGUUAAUACCCCGCUGUUCUGACGGUACCCAAAGAAUAAGCACCGGCUAACUUCGUG